rnacentral:rRNA from 1 species
CGGUACCUAACCAGAAAGCCACGGCUAACUACGUGCCAGCAGCCGCGGUAAUACGUAGGUGGCAAGCGUUGUCCGGAAUUAUUGGGCGUAAAGGGCUCGCAGGCGGUUUUUUAAGUCUGAUGUGAAAGCCCCCGGCUCAACCGGGGAGGGUCAUUGGAAACUGGGGAACUUGAGUGCAGAAGAGGAGAGUGGAAUUCCACGUGUAGCGGUGAAAUGCGUAGAGAUGUGGAGGAACACCAGUGGCGAAGGCGACUUUCUGGUCUGUAACUGACGCUGAGGAGCGAAAGCGUGGGGAGCGAACAGGAUUAGAUACCCUGGUAGUCCACGCCGUAAACGUUGAGUCUAAGUGUUAGGGGGUUUCCGCCCCUUAGUGCUGCAGCUAACGCAUAAGCACUCCGCCUGG